rnacentral:tRNA from 1 species
GCGUUUAGCUCAGUUGGUUAGAGCAUCUGCCUUACAAGCAGAGGGUCUGGGGUUCGAGUCCCUA